ensembl:lncRNA
AUGUUGGGGGGUGGUGGGAGUGGGAGGGGAUCAGGUCUGACCACCCUCAGAUCUGAUAAAUCAGCAGAAGGACUUACAGAACCAGCUGAAAGCUGUUACGCUUGUGGUUUAUUUCAGUGGAAGGAAUGGGCCAAAGGAAGAAGCACAUGGAACAGAAAGUUCCAAAAGCAAAGAUUCCAGUUAUCCUCUCCCAGUAAAGUCAUGGGUGACACCAACUUUUCCUGGCCAGGAUGUGUGACCGUACACGUGGAAUAUUGCCACCAAAGGAGCCUCACUCAAGCCUUUGUGUACAUAGUUUUUAUUGGGGCUCAGACAGAUGUAGAGGGGAGAGCCAGGACACAGCUCGGCUUGCUCAUGCCCAGAGAGAGUAAGAGUUCAGCUGCUGAACCUGAAGACAAGGGAGAGCUGGCCACGCAGGUGUGUGUGGGAGCUGGCUGCUGAGAAAAGCCGCAGAGACAGAGCAGGCAGCCAAAAUAAAGGUGAUGAGUGUAAAGGAGCUCAUGUGAGUAAGCUGCUGGUGAGAGAGCUGCUGAAUAAAACUACAUUUCACCUGGCUCCAGCCCCCUGAGUGUCGUUCAGCUAUCUGCUCAUCCACCUGCUCCUUUUGGACCUCAGCUGAAAGGUCCAAAAGAUUUGGGCUUUCCGAAUCUUUCAACCCUGAAAGACUGGGAGCUGAGCCCCAACCCUGCGCGUAGCAACAAGUGAUACUUUUGUUAGGUCCAUUUUUAUUUCCGUCAUCAGAAAUGUCCUGAGCUCUCCCUGGGACUGUCCUGUGGCUGGUAAGAGGCAGAGGUGAGUCAGAUGUGAAGUCCACCCUCUAGGGGUUCCUCCCAGUAGGGCAGAUGGGCAGGUAAGCCCGGUCCAAGCAGCCCAACACGUUAAGUGUGUACAAGGUCCAGCCUUGCCAUCUUGGUAUUUCCCAGAUGCACCGUGUUUUUUCCCACUUCAAGGCUUUGCCACACGCUGUUCCCUCUGCCUGAACCCCUUGUUCCCCUUCCUCUGACAAGCUCCUAGAUGUACUUCAGGUGCCUCUGAAAGUCUUCCCCAAGGCCCUUCCCUUCAUUCUGCCAAUUGCUCUUGUUUGACAAUCUUAUGAACCUGUGUUUCCCUUUCCUCUCCCUCCUGCAGGGCAGGGACGGUGUUGGUCUUGUUCCUUGUAGCCCAGUGCCUGGCUCAUGGUGAGUACUCAGGAAAUGUUUAUUGAAUGAAUGAAGAAAGCUGUUGUACAGAGGAGGCACUGGUUAACUUUAUCAGAAGGCAAUCUGGAAAGGUUUUCUGGAGGAGGUGAUGACUAAACCAGGUUGUAGAGGAAGAAUAGAAGUUUGCAGGGGAUACCAGGCAGUGGAAGCAGCAUGCACAAAGGCUCAGAGAGGUGACAUCUUACGGAAUUUCACUGUAGUUGGAAUGCAGAGUGAGGGGGGACAUGGGGUGAGGUGACGAUAUGGC